AAAUGAUUCAGUCUCCAUGGCCCAAUUUACCUACCACACGUCCCUCAUGAAGCAGGUGCCAGGGAGCAUGAAAUGUUUGAUACCUGGAAGGCUGAUCUGGGCUGGAACAAUUUCCAAGAAUGACUGUGCCUGAUAUUCUCUCCCUGAUAACCAGACAUAUAGCAAGUGUAACAGGAAAUGAUGUUAAAUACCUCAGGCUUUCACAGAAUUGAGUCUUCAAAGUCAGUAUCAAUAUUUUUAUUGUUUUGUUCAGGACAGAUUACAUCCUCUCUUACGGUCACUUCACUUGAAUAAGUUUGAAAUGAUCAAGACAGCAACGGGAAGAGAGGAAAGCAGGUUGCCACAUGGGGCUUGGAAGAACUGACUGUCUUGUUAGGGUGCGGUUGGAUAUCAGACCUCAGGUUGCACUCUAAGAUAAAACAGUGUUACUUGCUCACACAUUACACGAUUGACCUCUUACCAUGAGUGAGGACUGCUCUGGCCAGAAAGGGAAUCAGAAGAGUCCUGGUACAAAAAAAAGUCCAUCUAGAGAGCUGCAAUUAUGAAGUUAAUGGAGUAGUCAAAUACUACAACGUUGAAUGUACCCAAGAACCUGCAAACCUAUGCUGUCUGCCUAAGCAAUCUGCAUUAUGUGCUGGCAGCUAUGGCUCCUGUGGAAUUUAUGUUCUGAGCACUGAGGAAGAGCAUCUCCCCCUGAAGUCAUCUAGCACUGAUUUCACAUUCUGGCUAUCCUGUAUUUGCUGGAACAUGUCCUCUUGUGUUUCGAUUUCCACGAGAAUUGCAGGAAAGGAGUUCUUGUAAUAGCUGCUCUUGCUUAUGCCUGUAGGAGUGGGAAGGAGGACAUCAACUGGUAGCAUAAGCCCAGACACCUGAGUACCAUACCAUUCUCCUCUGAGAUACUGG
ensembl:lncRNA